rnacentral:rRNA from 1 species
GAUAAACGCUGGCGGCGUGCUUAACACAUGCAAGUCGAACGAAGUUUUUCCUUCGGGAGAAACUUAGUGGCGGACGGGUGAGUAACGCGUGGGUAACCUGCCCUGUACAGGGGGACAACAGCUGGAAACGGCUGCUAAUACCGCAUAAGCCCUUAGCACUGCAUGGUGCAUAGGGAAAAGGAGCAAUCCGGUACAGGAUGGACCCGCGUCUGAUUAGCCAGUUGGCAGGGUAACGGCCUACCAAAGCGACGAUCAGUAGCCGAUCUGAGAGGAUGUACGGCCACAUUGGGACUGAGACACGGCCCAGACUCCUACGGGAGGCAGCAGUGGGGAAUAUUGCACAAUGGAGGAAACUCUGAUGCAGCGACGCCGCGUGAGUGAAGAAGUAUUUCGGUAUGUAAAGCUCUAUCAGCAGGGAAGAAAAUGGCGGUACCUGACUAAGAAGCACCGGCUAAAUACGUG